UACAGAGGUCUCAAGCGUUGUUCGGAUUCAUUGGGCGUAAAGGGUGCGUAGGUGGCGCCAUAAGUCGGGUGUGAAAUCUCGGGGCUUAACUCCGAAACUGCAUUCGAUACUGUGGUGCUUGAGGACUGGAGAGGAGACUGGAAUUCAUGGUGUAGCAGUGAAAUGCGUAGAGAUCAUGAGGAAGACCAGUGGCGAAGGCGGGUCUCUGGACAGUUCCUGACACUGAGGAGCGAAAGCGUGGGGAGCGAACAGG
rnacentral:rRNA from 1 species